rnacentral:lncRNA from 1 species
UUUACACCUUCUGAUUUUGCAUUUGUUCAACCCAUUAAUUGGUUUUGGCAAUUAUGCGGUUGGAACUUGAAGGCUUUACAGGUUUUCCUUCAGUCGAUUCUUUGGCAAUUCAGUUGAUGGGAAACAUUUAUGGCAUGAAUUUGUACUCAUCGGCACACGGCAAUUUGAUUAGCAGUUGACGUUGCUGCCGUAAACAUGUCUAGCAAAUGACGUUGCGUAAUCAAAUUCUGUUGACGUUUCAUUGUCACUACACGUUGAUCUGUUCAUUGAUGGCCAGCAACAAAUCUUGUCUACUUGUAUCGUUGUCGGCAGG